UGGUUUGUUUCUCCUUUUCUGGAGACGUACCUGGAGAUGUGGGAGCUGGCAGCCCUCUACAGCAGAGUGCUCUGUCUUUGGACUGCCUCUAGGGUGGGGGCCAGCAUUGCCUCUGCAGAAGAGGAACAAGGUAACCUUCCCAGCCCCUCUUUGUACCAGAGCUGCUGUGCUGUGCUGUGUGAUUAAGUACUGAUAAUCACCAAGGACUGAAAGGACGUAGCGGAGGAUUGCUGGACAGCCUGCUUGCCUCUGUGGGAGGCUCCAUGCCCCUGUGCUUGUGCUGGGGAGGAGCAAGGAAGCAGCUUCUAAGACAGAAUCCCAAAAUGUGUGUGUUGCCAGCUGGCCCAGUUCUUCUGCCGUCACCCAUGGGGAGUCACGACCGCUGUGAAGAACCUGUGCUCCU